ensembl:lncRNA
UACAGAUUUCUCAGGAGGCAGGUCAGGUGGUCUGGUAUUCCCAUCUCUUGAAGAAUUUUCCACAGUUUGUUGUGAUCUACACAGUCAAACAUUUAAAGUCAAGACAUUUAAAGCUUUCUGCGUGGGGGAUGAUUGCUUAAGGAGCUGCUAAGCAGAACAGAUGCUGUCUUGAAUUUUUCCUUCAGAAAAAACAGACUUUAAACCAACGGCUGCUUCUAAAUUACUUAUGAAACUAAUUUUUUCUUUAUUGAUUUUCACCUCCAUUUCCUGUUUUGUUUUUUUUUUCAGUUUCUGUACCUUCUAACACAACAUUGUUACCAUGUGUUUAUGGUUAUUAAAACUUUUAUUUAUCUAUUUGCAUUCUCACAGCAAAUGAGAGACUACAUGUAAACAGCCUUUUGUAACUGAAAUAUUAUGUAACCCUAGAGUUUAAAAAAACUUUUUUUCUGCUUGCUUUUUAUUUUAGCAAAGGACUUGUAAGCAAAGAACUGUUACAAUUCAAUAAUAAGGAGGAAGGCAAUCUAUUUUUUUUUAAACAGGCAAAAGAUUUGAAUUUGAACGGAUACCUUGUGAAAGAAAAGAAUGGCCAAUAAGUAUGCGAUAAAGUUUCAAUGUCAUUUGUCAUCGGGAAAAGGCAAAUUAAAACUCUAAUGAGAUGGUUCUAACUGUGGACUGGAAACAAGUGCAAAAAUGUGAGCUGUGAGCACAGUAGCAUUUAUUCAGUGUUCCAGUGAGAAUGACAGCCUGGGAGACGGCUUCUCGAUGAAUUCCCAUGAUUUACUUUUGCAAGACUGAAGUUUCAAGUUGCAGUAAAAACAAAAAUCAUAUUUAUAACAAGAAAAAAGUUAAACAUAAAAUGAUCUGCCCCUUGACCUCACCUCUCUGCACUGCGCAUUAUGUGUCUGCCUUAGGCAUCAACUGAAGCUCCCCUAUAAGCAGAAAUACCUGCUCAGCCAUAAACAGCAACAUUCUCCCUGUACCAAUAGAUAACUCCUCAAGAGAUAACAUUCCUUCUUGAUCUUGUAAAGGGUCACAUGAGCCACUACGAUGGCACUUCAGUCUGGAAUUGGCAAACUAUCAAUAGUAUGUCAUUUAAUGUACAGCCCUCUGUCUCAAAAAUGUCUUAAAUAAGCUAUGUCUUGACUCCUAGUGGGAGGGACAGUUCUCAGAGCUUUCUGAGAUGCUCUUCCCAGGUUAUAGUCCUCAAAUUUGUCUGGAAUAAAUUUUCCAAUUUUUUUCUUAGAUCGACUGAUUAUGUUUUCAUUGACAUUACCAAAAUCUGAGGACACUAUUUUAUUUUAUUUUGGUCGCACUCUGUGGCAUGUGGGAUCUCAGUUCCCCUUCCAAUAUCCCCUGCGUUGGAAGGGCAGAAUCUUAACCACUGGAUCAACCAGCAAAGUCCCUG